rnacentral:rRNA from 1 species
GAUGAACGCUGGCGGUAUGCUUAACACAUGCAAGUCGAACGGACUCUUCGGAGUUAGUGGCGGACGGGUGAGUAACGCGUGAGAAUCUGGCUUUGGGUUCGGGACAACCACUGGAAACGGUGGCUAAUACCGGAUGUGCCGAGAGGUAAAAGAGAAAUUGCCUGAAGAUGAGCUCGCGUCUGAUUAGCUAGUUGGUGAGGUAAAGGCUCACCAAGGCAGCGAUCAGUAGCUGGUCUGAGAGGAGGACCAGCCACACUGGGACUGAGACACGGCCCAGACUCCUACGGGAGGCAGCAGUGGGGAAUUUUCCGCAAUGGGCGAAAGCCUGACGGAGCAAUACCGCGUGAGGGAAGAAGGCUCUUGGGUUGUAAACCUCUUUUCUUAGGGAAGAACAAAAUGACGGUACCUAAGGAAUCAGCAUCGGCUAACUCCGUG